rnacentral:lncRNA from 1 species
CCUCACUGUGGGCCAGGCAAUGUGCUAAGUGUUAGGGUUAUUUCAAUUAUUCUUCUUAAUAACCUUAAGAGGGAGGUACUAUUAUUCCUAUUUUAAAGAUGAGGAAACUGAGGUUGAGUUUAAUUAGCUUGAGUAAGGUCUCAAAGCUAGGUGAUAGUAUUUAUCGCACAAGGUUUAUGUAAGAGUUGCAUAAGCUGCUUAUGAAUGUGUUUUUCGAUUAUGAAAUACACAUGCAAACAAUUUUCCAUGUAAAAGUAUUUUGAAUUUUUUUGAGAAAAAGUCCUGAAUGCCAAGUCAUCACUGUUUGAUCUUAUUUGCCAAAUGUUCUUUGAAUUGCUGCUGAGUGUGAAGAACCAUGUCAAGUGCUGGAGAGGAGGGCAUGCUGCAACCCCCACUCUCAUGGAGGUUACAGGUCAGCAGCUAACGCAGCCAUCCAG